AGUUGCUGCAUGACUUGGAGAGAAACCAUUAGUUACCCCAGAGAUUCAGCAAGGUUUUCAUAAAGUGAAGCCGACUGAUGCCCAUUACUGAUCACCACACCUCUUAAAGAGGAAUGUCAGAAAUUCUCCACCUCCACCUGAGCUGUGAAGAGGCAGGUUAGAGGCAGGCUCCCUUCGUGCAGUACCGCAGAUUAAAGAUGAAAGAGGAUUUGCUGCACAAAUUAUCCAGGGAUCAUCUGCUGGAAGGAUGGAAGGGAGAGGCUGAGUGGCUUUAACAGGACGGUGAAGCUUUGCCUGUGGCUGAGGACAGUGGAGAGGGCCUCAGGAGAGGCCAACUCAGGCAUGACCCAGGCCCAGCUGGGCCACUCUUCCUCUGAAAAGCAGGCCCCUCCCCUGAGCCUCAGCUGAAUUCCAAGUGUGGACACAGACACAUCUCAAAAGGCAGCCCAGCCAGCUCAUCCUCAGCUGUGGCUGGAAUCCCAGCUCUUCUCUGGCACCUGCUGCCCAGGCUCCAGAGUACCCUGUGUGUCCUGAGGCAGCCCUUUCCAGCCCUCACCCCAGCUGUUCUUCAUCUCCACUCAGGAAGCAGCUUUCAACCCUGCAAGCCGUCUUUACUACCUUCAAUUGAAAAGAUGAGCUCUGGAGUGACAAACAUGGAUGAUCUGUGGGAGUCCUCAGAUGCUGAUCGAGCUGUCACACGGGGCCCUUCUCUGGGCUGUCUUAUAGUCUGCAGAGACACUGCUGCUUCUGUGCUCUGGGAGAGAGGGACUCCUUGGAGAUCUGAUCUCAGUAGUAGUCAUAAUCCUUUGGAUGGGUUCAGUUUGUACUGCUUCAUCUUUUGGAUUCUAGAAAUUCUCAGGGACUCAUCCAGAGAAGGAAACAGCCAGAAGAUCCUAUGAAGACAAGGUCAAACCAAAUAUGCUGUGUUAACCCCAGUUUUAAUAAGGUACAAAGUUGCCCCAAUUUUGUUUAAAACUGUACUGUGUACAAGUU